UCGAAUUAAAAGGGGGCUGAUUAAUGAUCGCAUUAAAUUGAGUACAGCCGGGAUGGAUGGAUAUAUGCCCGAGGCCUUCACGAGGAUUUGGGUGCCAGGUUAGUUUUGGAAAGGUUAUUCUAGUUGGUGUUCGACUUGCAUCCACUUUCUGAACAGGCAGCAAAAGCGUUCGAUAGGAUCAGCAAACCAAGACGCCUAUUUCAAUUUCAGAUGAUCAGCAGAACUCCGUGCUAUGGCGUUACUCGCAAAAAAAGAAGAAAGGCAUGUGUGCUAUGGUGAACCAAUUGGCUGACGCCAAGCAAUGUUGCGCAUGGGUGGAGGAACAAUUGCGUACACAAGAGGUGGACAAUGUAAAAUUAGAUAGCACAGUGGGAGCCUGUGUUGAUGAGAACUGUCUAAAACAAAUGUUUCCUUCAUAGUUCUAUGAGCUUGUAGAUACAUACACCAAUAUUGUACCCCCAGUGUCGAGAAUAAUGUGAAAUUAGAUAGCACAA